rnacentral:misc_RNA from 1 species
CACGUCUGCUCCUCUUAAAAACAUUAGCUGGAUCUCAGUGAGCUCGGUUCCACUCGGCGUGAUAAGUAUCACUCGCUGAGGACACCCGUAAAAAAGGUGGCCGGGAUUCGCAGAUGAACCGCUUCCAAUAGUCCAUUGGAUUGGACAAACAUACUUUAAGAUCUGAUCUCAAAUCAGGUAGGACUACCCGCUGAACUUAA